UGGGGAAUUUUCCGCAAUGGGCGAAAGCCUGACGGAGUGACGCCGCGUGGGGGACGAAGGCCUUCGGGUUGUAAACCCCUGUCAGAGGGAAAGAAGGGUCAUGUGGCUAAUAUCCACGUGACUUGACGGUACCUUCAGAGGAAGCCCCGGCCAACUCUGUGCCAGCAGCCGCGGUAAGACAGAGGGGGCAAGCGUUGCUCGGAAUCACUGGGCGUAAAGGGCGCGUAGGCGGGAUGGCAAGUCAGUCGUGAAAUCUCUCGGCUCAACCGAGAAACGUCGGCUGAUACUGCCGUUCUUGAGGGAUGCAGAGGAGACUGGAAUUCCCGGUGUAGCGGUGAAAUGUGUAGAGAUCGGGAGGAACACCGGUGGCGAAGGCGGGUCUCUGGGCAUUUCCUGACGCUGAGGCGCGAAAGCGUGGGGAGCAAACGG
rnacentral:rRNA from 1 species